GCUGUGCAUUACGGCCAAACAUCUCCAGUUUGGUCUCAUCUGUCCAAAGGACAUUGUUCCAGAAGUCUUGUGGUUUGUUCCCAUGCAACUUUGCAAACCUAAACCUUGCUGCCAUGUUCUUUUUAGAGAGAAGAGGCUUUCUCCUGACAAUCAUUGCAAACAAACCAUACUUGUUCAGUCUUAUUCUUUUAAAAUAUAACACAUUGAGUCAAAAGGAAAACACAAUAUGCA